GUGGCAGGCGUGUGAAAUGACAGGACAACAAUGCUAAGUCAAGUGUAAAAUUUUAAAUUUGCUUCUCAUUUGCCAUCAGAGGCUCAAGCACUCACACACGCUCCGCAAAAUGCUCACCCGGCCAUUCAAUUAUGUGUGGCAAACGGAUGCGAAUACGAAAUUUCUUAAUCCGAUUUGGGUGAUACAAUGCCGACUCCGGACCAAAUGAAGGACUCCUGGCCGUAUCCUUCGGAAAAGCCGAAACAAAACUCCUGGGCUGCGAAACUCCUGGCAGACAACAAACUAAAGCAAUUAUAAUACGCGAAUUGCGGCGGAACUAAGCAGCCACAAAGGAGCAGCCAGUAUCUUUGAUGUUGCGUUUACAAGGAUUAAUUUAUUUGCAUUUGGGCCCGGACAAAUGUUCCUGUCGCAAUGACUUCACUGGUCCAGGGUUCAAGUUCCAUUAGGGUGAGCAAUCUUCCAUCAAUUUAUUUAAUUUAUUCGUUAUAGCUGACGGACCAAAGCCAUGGAACUCAUUUACGGACCAGCUUACAGAUACAUUUCUAUCCGGCACUAGCACCUUUCUGAGACGAAUCCUCUAGGGAUCCCUUAACCGAAAAGGGAAACUAGUCCAGACACAUCUGUGGUGACUCCGGCCCCAAAAUGCUCUCAAAUGAACUAGGCGAACAAAGAGACAUUUGCAAAUUGCUUUGGUUUUGCUGCCUUGCCGGCCAUAAUGAGCAGAUUUGUUUUAAUAAGACGGGACUGCGAACUAAGCGCCGGGCCUGGCCUCACUUGGCAGUUUUAAAAUGAGCAGUCCGACCAGCAACUAAUUGCGAGCUGAAUUCCAAAUCCGGAAUCCUGCAUCCAGCCCGACGGGCGGUGAGCUUAACAAAUCGCUAGUCCGCAAAAUGAAUGCGACUCCUUGCAGGGGAUGUGGCUAAUGUGCUCAUUAAAGUUUUCCGCUGGCAGGAAGUGAGCAAAAACGACAGCAAAAAGGAUCUGCACCUGAUGGCGGCAGGAUGAAAUACUCGCAUCUGGUCGUUAUGACAAUAUAGCGUAUCAAUGGCCAAAUAAUUAUUGCAGCCACUGAUGGUAAGCAGUGUUGCAAAAAUGGUUUGAAUCUGGCUAUAUAUUUUUGGUUUGAAAAUGCUUAAAAGCUUUAA